UACAGAGGGUGCGAGCGUUAAUCGGAAUUACUGGGCGUAAAGCGUGCGUAGGCGGUUAUUUAAGUCGGAUGUGAAAGCCCCGGGCUCAACCUGGGAAUUGCAUUCGAGACUGAAGAGCUAGGGUGCGGUAGAGGGAAGCGGAAUUUCCGGUGUAGCGGUGAAAUGUGUAGAGAUCGGGAGGAACACCGGUGGCGAAGGCGGGUCUCUGGGCAGCUCCUGACGCUGAGGCGCGAAAGCGUGGGGAGCAAACGGG
rnacentral:rRNA from 1 species